rnacentral:rRNA from 1 species
AUUGAACGCUGGCGGCAGGCCUAACACAUGCACGUCGAGCGAAGAGGCGGACGGGUGAGUAAUGCCUAGGAAUCUGCCUGGUCGUGGGGGAUAACGUCCGGAACCGGGCGCUAAUACCGCAUACUAUCAGAUGAGCCUAGGUCGGAUUAGCUAGUUGGUGAGGUAAAGGCCUACCAGGGCGACGAUCCGUCAAUGGCCUGAGAGGAUGAUCAGUCACACUGGAACUUAGACACGGGCCAGACGCCUACGUGAGGCAGCAGUGGGGAAGAGUGGACAAUGGGCGAAAGCCUGAUCCAGCAAUGCCGCGUGUGUGAAGAAGGUCUUCGGAUUGUAAAGCACUUUAAGUUGGGAGGCGUUACCAACAGAAUAAGAACCGGCUAACUUCGUGCCAGCCGCCGCGGUAAUAC